UGGCGUAAACAGAGGGAAGCGAGCCUGCGAGGGGGAGCGAAUCCCAAAAAUAACGUCCCAGUUCGGAUUGUAGUCUGCAACCCGACUACAUGAAGCUGGAAUCGCUAGUAAUCGCGGAUCAGAAUGCCGCGGUGAAUACGUUCCCGGGUCUUGUACACACCGCCCGUCACACCAUGGGAGUCGGAAAUGCCCGAAGUCUGUGACCCAACCUUAGGGAGGGAGCAGCCGAAGGCAGGUCGGAUGACUGGGGUGAAGUCGUAACAAGGUACC
rnacentral:rRNA from 1 species